CUAAAGUUAUUUUGAAUAUAUAUAUUUUUUAAAUUCUUUGUUCCCUUCUCCUACAAACCCAAAGUCUACCAGUUUUCUCCCUCUUCAACACUAUCAAUACAAUCAUCGCCUCCUAGCCCAAGGGUUUUUGACUGAUCAUUUUCUCUUUCUUCAUGAUUUCAUUAGGUGGAAGCUUCUCGCAUAUUAUUACGUAAUUUCUAUAUAUUUAUGUCAGUCGAUAGUGAAUUUGUUGUUUUGGAUCACUUUUGGUAACAGGUAAGCAUUAAUUUAUGGAUCUUUGAUAUGGAUUAUGUGUUUUUUCUCUUGAUAAUUUUGAUUUUGGCUUAUUUGGUACAAUUUUUGCUAUUCUCUUUUCGGUUUUGUGAUUACAUUUUGGUCUGCUUGUGGGUAAAGUUGCUUCUUCUUUUUUCGUUUUACUUUCAAUAAAUAAGGUGCCUUUUAAAUUUGAACCUUAGUUUAUUUUUUAAUGUUUUCAUUUAUGUUCCUAGGAAUAUUGAAUUUGCAGAUCUUGAUUAGUUUAGGUUGCUAGGUGAUUAGUUUAGGUUGUUGGGUGAUUCUCAGUGAUUGUAUGUUUGUGUAUUUUUGAUUAUUAAUUUAUUUUGGGCUUAUUCGAUAGAUUUUUGCAGUUCUAUUACUUGGUAAGGACUUGAUUUUGAGUGUUGUGGUUCUAUUUGGAUGGAAGACCCACUUUCUUUUAUGGGCAUAAAUACAGCUCCAUAUGACAGUUUGAGCUCGGUUAAAUUUACUUUGUUCAUGGACGGGUAGAAACUUGUUGAUUUAGUGAAUUUCGAUAAACAAGUCAUUCUCAGUUCAUUGAUUAUAUGAUAUAUACUGAGGUUGGGAUAGUUCACAUAUUGUUACCUCAAUUUCAGACUUGUUUACUCUCAUGUAUGUAAUAUAGGAUGCUAAUGUUAACAAGUGCUGCAAGAAAUACUUAGUACCAUUUCCAAAAGGUAUUUUAUGCAAACCUAUUAAUCUUUUGUUUCAAUGAAGAUGUAUAUAUGUAUGGUUCAAGAACUAUUCUUCUUGUUUCUGUCGCUUCUUUUUGGUUCUUUAAACAGUUCACCUUUCAAACAUAUAAUUUAUAAUUUGAGUUGUGUGAUUUAACUAUGAUCACUUUCAGUUGGUUAACAAGAAGAAUAAACAAAGAUGAAACAUUGAAAAAAAGAUUUGCUAUGUACGAAUACUUGAAAAAAAGAAGAAUGAUUUUGGAUUUGAACCAAUCCAAAAGCCAAACCUUAUGGAUUUUGGUAUCUUUUCUUGGUAUUUAUAUUUUGCCUAUUGCCAAAAAAAUAUUUAAGAAAUGUUUUCGCUUAUUAUGUGUUUUUGCUUGUUUCAUUGAGGCAUUCUAGCGUGCAGUUGGGAAUGAUGAAUAAAAUGGAAGGCCCAUCAGUUUUAGUUCUUUAUGUGACCUCUAGGUCUUAGCAGGGGCACAAGAGGAGUUUAUGCCAGUCUUACAAUGUAAUAUUAUCUUAUUUGUAAUUGUUUGAGCUAUUAAACUAUUGUAUCAUCGUUUUUUUAAGUUAUAUGGGUAUGCCCCUUGUAAAUAUGUAAAUCUUGAUUAUAGUGUUUAUG
rnacentral:lncRNA from 1 species